UAACAAGGAUUCCCCUAGUAACUGCGAGUGAAGCGGGAAGAGCUCAAAUUUAAAAUCUGGCGGUCUUUGGCCGUCCGAGUUGUAGUCUGGAGAAGUGCUUUCCGCGCCGGACCGUGUACAAGUCUCUUGGAACAGAGCGUCAUAGAGGGUGAGAAUCCCGUCUUUGACACGGACUGCCGGUGCUUUGUGAUGCGCUCUCAAAGAGUCGAGUUGUUUGGGAAUGCAGCUCAAAAUGGGUGGUGAAUUCCAUCUAAAGCUAAAUAUUGGCGAGAGACCGAUAGCGAACAAGUACCGUGAGGGAAAGAUGAAAAGCACUUUGGAAAGAGAGUUAAACAGUACGUGAAAUUGCUGAAAGGGAAACGCUUGAAGUCAGUCGCGUCCGCCGGAACUCAGCCUUGCCUCGGCUUGGUGCACUUUUCGGCGGACGGGCCAGCAUCGAUUUUGACCGUCGGAAAAGGGCGGGAGGAAUGUGGCACCUUCGGGUGUGUUAUAGCCUCUCGUCGCAUACGUCGGUUGGGAUCGAGGAUCGCAGCGCGCCUUUAUGGUCGGGGUUCGCCCACGUUCGCGCUUAGGAUGCUGGCGUAAUGGCUUUAAACGAC
rnacentral:rRNA from 1 species